UACGAAGGGGGCUAGCGUUGUUCGGAAUCACUGGGCGUAAAGCGCUCGUAGGCGGAUCUUUAAGUCAGAGGUGAAAUCCCAAGGCUCAACCUUGGAACUGCCUUUGAUACUGGGGAUCUCGAGUCCGGGAGAGGUGAGUGGAAUUGCGAGUGUAGAGGUGAAAUUCGUAGAUAUUCGCAAGAACACCAGUGGCGAAGGCGGCUCACUGGCCCGGUACUGACGCUGAGGAGCGAAAGCGUGGGGAGCAAACAGG
rnacentral:rRNA from 1 species